CCUACGGGUGACUGCAGUGGGGAAUAUUGGACAAUGGGCGAAAGCCUGAUCCAGCCAUGCCGCGUGUGUGAAGAAGGCCUUCGGGUUGUAAAGCACUUUCAGUGGGGAAGAAAGCCUUGGGGCUAAUACCCUCGAGGAAGGACAUCACCCACAGAAGAAGCACCGGCUAACUCCGUGCCAGCAGCCGCGGUAAUACGGAGGGUGCGAGCGUUAAUCGGAAUUACUGGGCGUAAAGCGCGCGUAGGCGGUCUGAUAAGCCGGUUGUGAAAGCCCCGGGCUCAACCUGGGAACGGCAUCCGGAACUGUCAGGCUAGAGUGCAGGAGAGGAAGGUAGAAUUCCCGGUGUAGCGGUGAAAUGCGUAGAGAUCGGGAGGAAUACCAGUGGCGAAGGCGGCCUUCUGGACUGACACUGACGCUGAGGUACGAAAGCGUGGGUAGCAAACAGGAUUAGAUACCCGUGUAGUC
rnacentral:rRNA from 1 species